AAGACUUGAAGGAAGUGAACAAGUUAGCCAAGCAGAUAUCUAAGGAAAACUUUGCAGGCAGUGAGAACAGCCAGAACAAAGGCUCUAGGGUGAGCGUACACAUGACAUAAUUGAAAAUCAGCAAGGGGCCAUGGAGGAGUAUGCUCGGGAACCUUGCCCAUGGCGAAUUGUGGAUGAUUGUGGUGGAGCCUUCACUAUGGGUGUUAUCGGCGGUGGAGUCUUCCAGGCCAUUAAGGGCUUCCGCAAUGCCCCUGUCGGAAUUCGGCACCGAUUGAGAGGCAGUGUCAAUGCUGUAAGGAUCAGAGCCCCCCAGAUUGGAGGUAGCUUCGCUGUGUGGGGGGGCCUGUUUUCCACCAUCGACUGUGGUCUGGUGCGGCUUCGGGGCAAGGAAGAUCCCUGGAACUCCAUCACCAGUGGUGCACUGACUGGGGCUGUGCUGGCUGCCCGCAGUGGCCCAUUGGCCAUG